rnacentral:misc_RNA from 1 species
AGAGAUUACCGUCUAUCAUGAGGAGAGUUGAAAGCAUGCUGCUUGCCAUUCAGUUAAAACAUAUGAUAAACUACCCUGUUCCUUCCUCUAAGAUAUUGGAAGCUUUAACUGCUGCCUCAUGCCAGGAGACGUUCUGUUAUGAAAGAGCAGAACUGCUGGGAGAUGCUUAUCUGAAAUGGGUGGUUAGUCGAUUCCUUUUUCUCAAAUACCCUAGAAAACAUGAGGGCCAGCUCACUAGAAUGAGGCAACAAAUGGUCAGUA